rnacentral:rRNA from 1 species
GACGAACGCUGGCGGCGUGCUUAACACAUGCAAGUCGAACGGAAAGGCCCUGCUUUUGUGGGGUGCUCGAGUGGCGAACGGGUGAGUAACACGUGAGUAACCUGCCCUUGACUUUGGGAUAACUUCAGGAAACUGGGGCUAAUACCGGAUAGGAGCUCCUGCUGCAUGGUGGGGGUUGGAAAGUUUCGGCGGUUGGGGAUGGACUCGCGGCUUAUCAGCUUGUUGGUGGGGUAGUGGCUUACCAAGGCUUUGACGGGUAGCCGGCCUGAGAGGGUGACCGGCAACAUUGGGACUGAGAUACGGCCCAGACUCCUACGGGAGGCAACAGUGGGGAAUAUUGCACAAUGGGCGGAAGCCUGAUGCAGCAACGCCGCGUGCGGGAUGACGGCCUUCGGGUUGUAAACCGCUUUCGACUGUGACGAAGCGUGAGUGACGGUAAUGGGUAAAGAAGCACGGGCUAACUACGUG